GUACUCUUUGGUUGGUGGUUUAGUCCCUACAACAAACACUGUGAGUUUAAGGAACUUGCCUGAGAUCACAGGCUGUAUAUCUUAUGGGAUUCAAGCAUGGUGCAAUUAUGAAAACUAAAACCCUAGAGGGGAUAAUAUAUCAACUAUGUCUUAGUUGCUGACAGCAUAUACAUGUGCCAACUGAAGAAGAUAUUAGUUUGG